rnacentral:rRNA from 1 species
GACGAACGCUGGCGGCGUGCUUAACACAUGCAAGUCGAGCGGUAAGGCCCUUUCGGGGGUACACGAGCGGCGAACGGGUGAGUAACACGUGGGUGACCUGCCCUCAGCUCUGGGAUAAGCCUGGGAAACCGGGUCUAAUACCGGAUAUGACUCCAUGACGCAUGUUGUGGGGUGGAAAGCCUUGUGCGGCUGAGGAUGGGCCCGCGGCCUAUCAGCUUGUUGGUGGGGUGAUGGCCUACCAAGGCGACGACGGGUAGCCGGCCUGAGAGGGCGACCGGCCACACUGGGACUGAGACACGGCCCAGACUCCUACGGGAGGGCAGCAGUGGGGAAUCUUGCGCAAUGGGCGAAAGCCUGACGCAGCGACGCCGCGUGAGGGAUGACGGCCUGUGU